ACACUGCGGUGUGAUUUAGAUUCCAGCCAUGUCUCGGUAUAUGCUAUAUAUAACUGUCGUUGCGGCUGUGACGUCGUGUUGUCUUCAGUGGGUCCAGUCUAACGACAGAAACACCGCCAUGGCUGACCUAGUCUCCGUAGAAUACGAGAUCUAACGUUACGGCGAAGUUCAAGGUGUCUUCUUUCGAGAUAACACCCGUAAGCAAGCCCGGCGACUGAAGCUGGUUGGGUGGGUGAAGAACACCCGGCACGGUACAGUAGCAGGGGUCGUACAGGGGCCCAGGGACGCUAUCAACCAGAUGAAGCACUGGCUGCAGCAUAUCGGGAGUCCGAUGUCGAGAAUCGAAGGGGCGUCUUUUGAGGAGAAGAGCAUCGCCCGGCUGGAGUUCGGAAACUUCGACAUUGCGUACGGACGUUAAGUGUGCCGGCACAAGUUCAAUGUGUGACCAGGGAAUCUUUUUGAACUACAUAUAUAUGAUUGUUAAAGAGCACCGUGAGCCUCAAUGUUCUUUCAGCUCCAUUUCAACCUUCUACGGCUGAAGAGUUUUUUGCUUUAUGUCAAACUUAUGUAAAACCGAAACUGAGGUAUAUCUGUGGCAAGGAUAAAAAUUCAUCGUAGUAAAGUUUUGAUUGAAAAUUCUA